rnacentral:lncRNA from 10 species
GGGGAGCCGCCGGAGGGCAGCUGGGGCUGCGGAAUUUUGGAAGCGCAGAAGUUUUCUCCUCCUGUCCUGUAACUGGUUUUCACUCACUCAACUGAGAGAUUUCUUUGUUGCAAUGAUGGGGUCUAAGAUAACACUUCUGGAGGCUGCAGGCGAGAAACACAGCUGAUAUCAUCUUUUAUUGUGUGUUGUUAUUUGCCUAGCAUUAUAAAUUAAGGAGGAAUAGUAACAAAGAGCUUGAAGACAUGCACAGCUCACAGGCCCCGGGUGGAGGCUGGCGACAUCAGACAGACAGAACCAAGACAUCUGAGGGGCAACCAGGAGGUGCGUGUGGCUGCAGAGCACACAGACUUGUCUUUGGACAAAAUUGAGAAGAACUCAUAAACUUGGCUUCCUCGCUUCUGCUCCUCAGACGCGCGUGGAUGAUUUGAAGAUAUUAGCCUAACAAGAUGGAAGCAGGUUUAAAAUUUUACAUAAGAAGUUACCUUUUUCAGUUGUGUUGAUGUUCCUUUCAGCUGGUCCUAUAGUACCCCUCCUCAGGAAUGUCUCCCCAGUGCAAGGACAAAGACUGAAGAGACUGCUAUAUUGAUGGACUCUCAAGCCAACUAUGAAGUUGAAACAAAGAAAGUGAUCACCUGAAGACACCUCCUCUGCUAAGAAACACCCCCAAAUUGUGCAGCUUCUGCCACUAGAACUCUCAGAACAAGAGACAAUCUUUUCAAGAAACAGAAAAACUCAAUAAUGACAUCUAGAUUUUCAUGAGCCAAGAACUUUCCCUUCCUCAUGUGUAUUCCUCUGUUUGUACUUAAAUUCAUGUGACAUUCAUUUUUUUCCUAGUAUGGAUAUGCUUAUUAAUGCACUUGUUUCAAAAUCCCAAAUUGCACAAAUGUGUUAAUAUUUUAAGAAACAAAAUGAAUCCUACAAGGAGAAUGAUUUUUAGCCACACAUAGGGUUGGAUCUUGAGAGUGACCUACAGAAUAAAAGUACUUUUAAAAUAAAGUAGUCAGAGGCUAUUCAAAGGGUAAAAUAAUCAUAGUACCACAUUGGUCCACUUGACACUAACCAAUCGAUCAUUUUUUUUUAAUCAAGAAAGCUAGAUUCUAUCAGAUAAAAUCACUGCUUCUAAAGAGUUUAAAUCUAGUUAGAAAAAGUUAUAGAAAUGUUUGCAAAGAUAAGUAACAGAUAGAGUCAGUAGAGGAUAAGAUCAAAAACAAAACCAAGCAAAAGAUGAGUUCAGGGGAGUUUGCCAUCAAGUUGGCAAAACUGACUUACUUAGGGAAGAAAGUUAUAAAACAGGAAAAUAUGAGAUGAACCUUGAGUGAUGUGGAAGAUUUAGAUAAAUGGAAAGGAAGGAGAAAAUGGAGUUCUUUAGGUGGUUGUAAUUGGAGGAGGAAAUGAAUACACACAUCUUGUUGACUUAAACCCAGACAUUCAGCAGCUCUCUAUACAUAUCUGGAAAAGACUGCACAGUCACCUCCUGUCUCUCACCCCAGGUAUUACUUAGAAUUAUUAUCAUAUUUCCCUUCCUUUAAAGUAAGUAAGGGUGAUUGGUGACAAUAUGGAGAACUAUGAUUUUUCCAUUAACCUAAUAAUAAUUGGUAUUUAUUGAGUUCUGUUAAGCAUUUUACAUAUUAACUCACUUAAGCCUUUCAACAGCCUUGCAAAAUAGGUAUUAUUAUCCCCAUUUUACAGGCAAGAAAACUGAGGUUUAAGUAACUUGCCGAAGUGCCAUAUACAGGGCUCACAUUCAGUAUUGCAGUUGCAAAGCUCAUGAUCUAUAGUGCCAAGUUGCAAUAUUGUAGUCAAUGUCACAAUUAUUACCCCUUUUUAUAUUCCUUGAUAUUUUUCCAUGGCAAACAAUUAGCUAUUUCAUUUAAUAAUCACCUAAAACUUUUCAGUCUUCUGAUUAAAAUUACGCUGGAGUGAUAGAAUGUAUUUUCAUGAUAGAAAUUGGGAAAAAAAAUGGGGAAUGAAGUUUAUCAGCAUUUCAGACUUGUUUUUUUUUUUUUUUUUUGCAAGACUUUGAUGAGAUUGUUCACUUUUGUCUAUGUAAAAUCCCAAAUCCUUGAGAAUAAAAAAGGGGGAGGUUUAAGUCACUUGUUGCAAUGCCCUUUUUAAUAGAGGCAAUAAAUCUAAAGGCCAUAAAUUUAGAGUGACUUACAGAAGAUCGAACUUUGGAGUGUGGCAGAGUAAGGGAUGGAAACCGGGCCCUCCAGUUCACUAUCAGUAGCUUUUGCACUGGUCUGCCCUUCCUAAAUUAAGUAUGCACUUCAAUUUGAUGAGUGGAAACAGUCUAUCUGGGCAGUAACCAGGGAGCUUUGUGCCUAGUAGAUUGCUUCUGUUCUGCACUUCUUUGGUUUCCCACCUCAAUGUAAAAAAUAGCUAGCAAUGAAGUCCAGAAGUUGUCAAUGGUUCAUCCCCAGAAGAAUGCAUAAUGUCCAAAGUUGUAUGUGUAUGAUGUCUUCAAUGGUAUUAAGUUAUUUCAAAUUCUUAGUUCACCUACAUAAAUCAUUUCUAACAAGCAUCUUCUUAACCAACUUUAUGCACAGUGUAUGUUUGUAAGUGCUUCUGCACGAAUGUUUAUACAUGACUGUUUCCAUAGUACUUAUGUUUUUAAAAAUAUUCAGUCAUUUCCUACUAUAAUCCUCAUGUAUCCAUGUAACUGACUCAAAAAUACUUCAGCCACAGAAAGCUAAAACUGAGCAAAUCUCAUUCUUCUUUUCCAUCCCCUUUGCAUGUGGCUGGCAUUUAGUAAUGAUUAAUAAUAUGGCCAGCUGAAUAACAGAGGUUUGAGACACAAUUCUUUCUCAAAGGAGUCAGCUAAGCUGGGUCUACUUAUGGACAAACAUCUAAAUGUGUGGAAGUAUCUGAUAUUUGACAAUGGUAAAUUUCCACUUAGCUAGCUAGCAUUGUCAGACUUCAAUCUCCUCAUGGCUCUGGCCGUCCUGUUUUAAGCAUGAUAAUUGUUGGCCACAUCUCACAUAGUUCUCAUUGAGUGAGUUCAUAAAUAAACAGGGUUUUUUUUUUUUUUUAAAGAGCAGCCAAGCACAAAGUGUGACUUUGUUGACAUUUUAUGUGACUUUGUCAUAUGUUCCUAACCCCCAAUAAAAGCAAUGUUGCAUCAACUGUGAA